GUCGUAACAAGGUUUCCGUAGGUGAACCUGCGGAAGGAUCAUUACCACACCGAUCCAAGAUCAUUUCACCGUGAAUCAGUGGCCCCAUGGAUGCUGAUGGGCAUGAAUGCGGUUGGGUAUUGUCUGUUGAUAGGACCCACUGCAUGGCCCAUUGGUGUGGCUGCUAAAUCAAAGUGCCGAAUGGCGCGAUCGUCAACUUUACGACGUAACCAGAUUGACCCAAUCAACUGAAACAAAAGGCUCGACAACGUUGCUAUGUUUAGCAACCGUAUGUCAAAGUCAAACGAUUAAUAACCUAACAACUUUCAGCGAUGGAUGUCUAGGUUCCCA
rnacentral:misc_RNA from 1 species